rnacentral:rRNA from 1 species
GUGGGGAAUAUUGGGCAAUGGGCGAAAGCCUGACCCAGCAACGCCGCGUGAGGGAAGAAGGUUUUCGGAUUGUAAACCUCUGUCCUUGGUGACGAAGGAAGUGACGGUAGCCAAGGAGGAAGCCCCGGCUAACUACGUGCCAGCAGCCGCGGUAAUACGUAGGGGGCGAGCGUUGUCCGGAAUGACUGGGCGUAAAGGGCGUGUAGGCGGCCGAUUAAGUCUGGAGUGAAAGUCCUGCUUUCAAGGUGGGAAUUGCUUUGGAGACUGGUUGGCUUGAGUGCGGAAGAGGUAAGUGGAAUUCCCAGUGUAGCGGUGAAAUGCGUAGAGAUUGGGAGGAACACCAGUGGCGAAGGCGACUUACUGGGCCGUAACUGACGCUGAGGCGCGAAAGCGUGGGGAGCGAACAGGAUUAGAAACCCCAGUAGUCC